AUUGAACGCUGGCGGUAGGCCUAACACAUGCAAGUCGAACGCGAAAGUCCUUCGGGAUGAGUAGAGUGGCGGACGGGUGAGUAACGCGUAGGAAUCCAUCCUGUAGUGGGGGAUAACGUUUCGAAAGGAACGCUAAUACCGCAUACGCCCUACGGGGGAAAGCGGGGGAUCUUCGGACCUCGUGCUAGAGGAGGAGCCUGCGUCGGAUUAACUAGUUGGUGAGGUAAAGGCUCACCAAGGCGACGAUCCGUAGCUGGUCUGAGAGGAUGAUCAGCCACACCGGAAAUGGGACACGGUCCGGACUCCUACGGGAGGCAGCAGUGGGGAAUAUUGCGCAAUGGGCGAAAGCCUGACGCAGCCAUACCGCGUGUGUGAAGAAGGCCUUCGGGUUGUAAAGCACCUUCAGUGGGGAGGAAAAGCUGGCGGCUAAUAUCCGCCGGCCGUGACGCUACCCACAGAAGAAGCACCGGCUAAUUCCGUGCCAGCCGCAGCCGUAAAAC
rnacentral:rRNA from 1 species